UACGGAGGGUGCUAGCGUUGUUCGGAAUUACUGGGCGUAAAGCGCACGUAGGCUGUCUAGUAAGUUGGAAGUGAAAUCCCAAGGCUCAACCUUGGAAUUGCUUUCAAAACUGCUAGACUAGAGAAUGGUAGGGGAAAGUGGAAUUCCUAGUGUAGAGGUGAAAUUCGUAGAUAUUAGGAGGAACACCAGAGGCGAAGGCGACUUUCUGGGCCAUUUCUGACGCUAAGGUGCGAAAGCGUGGGGAGCAAACAGG
rnacentral:rRNA from 1 species